rnacentral:rRNA from 1 species
GACGAACGCUGGCGGCGUGCCUAAUACAUGCAAGUCGAGCGGAUGACGGAGGAGCUUGCUCCUCCUGAUUCAGCGGCGGACGGGUGAGUAACACGUGGGCAACCUGCCCUGUAGAUUGGUAUAACUCCGGGAAACCGGGGCUAAUACCGAAUAAUCCUUCGGACCUCAUGGUCCGAUGUUGAAAGCCGGCAUCUCGCUGUCACUACAGGAUGGGCCCGCGGCGCAUUAGCUAGUUGGUGAGGUAACGGCUCACCAAGGCCACGAUGCGUAGCCGACCUGAGAGGGUGAUCGGCCACACUGGGACUGAGACACGGCCCGGACUCCUACGGGAGGCAGCAGUAGGGAAUCUUCCACAAUGGACGAAAGUCUGAUGGAGCAACGCCGCGUGAGUGAAGAAGGUUCUCGGAUCGUAAAACUCUGUUGUGAGGGAAGAACAAGUACCGGAGUAACUGCCGGUGCCUUGACGGUACCUCAUUAGAAAGCCACGGCUAACUACGUGCCAGCCGCCGCGGUAA